GCAGUCGUACGAGGGUUUUUAACUCUAGUGGCGGACGGGUGAGUAACACGUGAGAAUUUGCCUUUAGGAGGGGGAUAACAAUCGGAAACGAAUGCUAAUACCCCAUAUGCUUUCGAGUGAAACGGAUUUAUCCGCCUAAAGAGAAGCUCGCGGCUGAUUAGCUUGUUGGUAAGGUAAGAGCUUACCAAGGCGACGAUCAGUAUCUGGUUUGAGAGGACGAUCAGACACACUGGAACUGAGACACGGUCCAGACUCCUACGGGAGGCAGCAGUGGGGAAUUUUCCGCAAUGGGCGAAAGCCUGACGGAGCAAUACCGCGUGAGGGAAGACUGCCUAUGGGUUGUAAACCUCUUUUUUCAGGGAGGAAUAAAAUGACGUGUACCUGAAGAAUAAGCAUCGGCUAACUCCGUGCCAGCAGCCGCGGUAAGACGGAGGAUGCAAGUGUUAUCCGGAAUCACUGGGCGUAAAGCGUCUGUAGGUGGCUUAAUAAGUCAACUGUUAAAUCUU
rnacentral:rRNA from 1 species